UAUGUUGCCAACCUGUGUGGUGUAACUCCUAGACUUUGUUGCCAUGUCUUCAGCAGCAUUUUUUAGCCAAUCUGAGCUGAGACGGGAAUCUUUGCAUAGGGUAAUCAUCUCAGAGAUGUGAUCCAUGAAGAAGAGAACCAGCCCGAUGGGCUCAGCACCGUCCUCCCAACAAUUGUCUCCUCGUACUUUCUCAUAACGCCAUCCAUAGACUUUCCAGCCUGCAAUCAUAAAUAAAACCCUAGUUCAUAUUUUCUCACUUUAUCUCAUAUUAAGAUGUUAGAGAUCUCAGAUGAAAGAGCAAUUACCUUGCACACAAUAUCAAGCAUCUGGUAAUUACCACUCCA